rnacentral:rRNA from 1 species
AUUAGACGAAUCAUCUGGAAAGAUGAAUCAAAGAAGGUAAUAAUCCUGUAGUCGAAAAUGUUGUCUCUCUUGAGUGGAUCCUGAGUACGACGGAGCACGUGAAAUUCCGUCGGAAUCUGGGAGGACCAUCUCCUAAGGCUAAAUACUCUCUAGUGACCGAUAGUGAACCAGUACCGUGAGGGAAAGGUGAAAAGCACCCCGGAAGGGGAGUGAAAUAGAACCUGAAACCGUGUGCUUACAAGUAGUCAGAGCCCGUUAAUGGGUGAUGGCGUGCCUUUUGUAGAAUGAACCGGCGAGUUACGAUUUGAUGCAAGGUUAAGCAGUAAAUGUGGAGCCGUAGCGAAAGCGAGUCUGAAUAGGGCGUUUAGUAUUUGGUCGUAGACCCGAAACCAGGUGAUCUACCCUUGGUCAGGUUGAAGUUCAGGUAACACUGAAUGGAGGACCGAACCGACUUACGUUGAAAAGUGAGCGGAUGAACUGAGGGUAGCGGAGAAAUUCCAAUCGAACCUGGAGAUAGCUGGUUCUCUCCGAAAUAGCUUUAGGGCUAGCCUCAAGUGAUGAUUAUUGGAGGUAGAGCACUGUUUGGACGAGGGGCCCCUCUCGGGUUACCGAAUUCAGACAAACUCCGAAUGCCAAUUAAUUUAACUUGGGAGUCAGAACAUGGGUGAUAAGGUCCGUGUUCGAAAGGGAAACAGCCCAGACCACCAGCUAAGGUCCCAAAAUAUAUGUUAAGUGGAAAAGGAUGUGGCGUUGCCCAGACAACUAGGAUGUUGGCUUAGAAGCAGCCAUCAUUUAAAGAGUGCGUAAUAGCUCACUAGUCGAGUGACACUGCGCCGAAAAUGUACCGGGGCUAAACAUAUUACCGAAGCUGUGGAUUGUCCUUUGGACAAUGGUAGGAGAGCGUUCUAAGGGCGUUGAAGCAUGAUCGUAAGGACAUGUGGAGCGCUUAGAAGUGAGAAUGCCGGUGUGAGUAGCGAAAGACGGGUGAGAAUCCCGUCCACCGAUUGACUAAGGUUUCCAGAGGAAGGCUCGUCCGCUCUGGGUUAGUCGGGUCCUAAGCUGAGGCCGACAGGCGUAGGCGAUGGAUAACAGGUUGAUAUUCCUGUACCACCUAUAAUCGUUUUAAUCGAUGGGGGGACGCAGUAGGAUAGGCGAAGCGUGCGAUUGGAUUGCACGUCUAAGCAGUAAGGCUGAGUAUUAGGCAAAUCCGGUACUCGUUAAGGCUGAGCUGUGAUGGGGA